rnacentral:rRNA from 1 species
AGCAGCAGUGGGGAAUAUUGCACAAUGGGGGAAACCCUGAUGCAGCCAUGCCGCGUGUGUGAAGAAGGCCUUCGGGGUUGUAAAGCACUUUCAGUAGGGAGGAAGGUAGUGUAGUUAACACCUGCACUAUUUGACGUUACCUACAGAAGAAGCACCGGCUAACUCCGUGCCAGCAGCCGCGGUAAUACGGAGGGUGCGAGCGUUAAUCGGAAUUACUGGGCGUAAAGCGCAUGCAGGCGGCCUGUUAAGUCAGAUGUGAAAGCCCGGGGCUUAACCUCGGAAUUGCAUUUGAAACUGGCAGGCUAGAGUCUUGUAGAGGGGGUAGGAAUUUCAGGUGUAGCGGUGAAAUGCGUAGAGAUCUGAAGGAAUACCAGUGGCGAAGGCGGCCCCCUGGACAAAGACUGACGCUCAGAUGCGAAAGCGUGGGGAGCAAACAGGAUUAGAUACCCUGGUAG